rnacentral:rRNA from 1 species
AUUGAACGCUGGCGGCAUGCUUUACACAUGCAAGUCGAACGGUAACAGGGUGCUUGCACCGCUGACGAGUGGCGAACGGGUGAGUAAUGCGUCGGAACGUGCCGAGUAGUGGGGGAUAACGCAGCGAAAGUUGUGCUAAUACCGCAUACGUACUGAGAUAGAAAGUGGGGGACCUUCGGGCCUCACGCUAUUCGAGCGGCCGGCGUCUGAUUAGCUAGUGGGUGAGGUAAAGGCUCACCUAGGCGACGAUCAGUAGCGGGUCUGAGAGGAUGAUCCGACACACUGGGACUGAGACACGGCCCAGACUCCUACGGGAGGCAGCAGUGGGGAAUUUUGGACAAUGGGCGAAAGCCUGAUCCAGCCAUGCCGCGUGUCUGAAGAAGGCCUUCGGGUUGUAAAGGACUUUUGUCGGGGAGGAAAUCCCCAGCGCUAAUACCGCUGGGGGAUGACAGUACCUGAAGAAUAAGCACCGGCUAACUACGUGCCAGCCGCCGCAGUAACAC